rnacentral:lncRNA from 1 species
CAGACGUUAAGCAUCGCUUGAGGUCUAUCUUUGAAGGGGAAAGAUGAGGACUCCCUCAUUGCUCGUGAUGGGAGAAUUGCCGAUCUUGAGGCCGAGCGCGCUUAGCUGCUGAGGGAGCGUGAGAAGAUAAAUAGUGAGCUCAUGAAAGCUCGAGAAGAGGUUGGUGUUAUGAAGGAUGAGGCUGAGGAGAUGAUGCUCGAGCUUGAAAGUAUUCAUAGGGAUUAUGAAAGGAGGCUGGUUCAAGCUCGGGCGGAUGCAGUCGAGGACUUCAAGAAAUCUGACGUUUUCAAUGAGCUCAAGGGUGAAUACGCAAUGAGCUCGUACUUUCAUACCCUGAAAGAGGCUCGAGCAUUUAUCUGCUCGAAGCUAGAUACAAGGCCCGAGGACUUGAAGACUAUCCCACGGGUGGCUGAGGACCUCGCCCUCUCCAAGUUGGAGGAGAAUGUUGAUGACGAGGAGGUGGACAUCAAAGGUGACGACGCCGAGGAAGACUAGCCCAGCCAGAAUAUUGAGGACUAGAGUUCUUGAUCAUUUAUAUUGAACAUAAUGACAUUUUUUUUUGUGUUUUGGGGAAAUUUAAGUAUUUUGCUCGAUCUUAAUUAAUGUUUUACUUAUCGACGUUUUUUCAAGGCACGAGGACUUGUAUGGUUGAUGUCUUGGGCAUCUUGACGAUCAGGACAAAUUAAAUAGCUCGACGUUUAAGACGAAUUAAAUAACUAGACGCCUAAGAUGAAUUGAUAUCUCGAUGCUUUAGAUAAAUUAAAUAUCUCGAUGCCCAAAAUUAAUUGAUAUCUCGACGCCUAAGACGAAUAAACAUCUCGACGCCUAAGAUAAAUUGAUAUCUCGACGCCUAAGAUGAAUUAACAACUUGAUGCUUAAGACGAAUUGAUAAACUGCUAAAAAAUCUCAAGGACUUAAUCCAUAUGAAGUUUCAGACAGUGGUAACUCGAUCUUAGUAAGGUCAUCCCUUAAUAUGGAAAUUUUCUUGAGGACUAAAUGACAAUUGUAAUUGACGUUCCUUGAUCAUUAUAUUGGGGAAGACUUGACCUGGCGAACAAGUAAGAAGCUCGAUCUUUACUUUGGGGUCCUUAUCCUGAGGAUUUAGUUAAGCAUACCGAGCAUAGAUUGGACGCUCAAAGGUAACAAGCUCGAGCUUAUUAUCGAUCCUUGUUCUCUUGCUUUUGAGGUCAAGGGUAGUCUCGACGUACAGUGUGAUUCCUGAGCUAAAUUCUUGAGGAAAACCCUGCCUUUUUAUAAGUUUCAUCACCUCAGUGCUCGGGAUUCUAUGUGCUCAGGAAUUUUACUUGGGUG